ACUGAGUCUGCGCAAAGCCAGAGGCGGCUGGGUGUUGUAGUUCUCACGACAACGGUGAAGCACCUAUGCUAACUACAUCGCUGCAGCAGCAAGGUCACAUUGUUUGAACCGAGGACCAGGAUGGCAGAAAUCUGUGUCUCCUCUGUCAUCAUGGGUGAUGUGAGAUCUCUGGACAAUCAGAUGGACGAGCCCGCGGCCCUCGUCAGGAAUCAGAGAGACUUCCUUGAGAGUCUUGUUGUGUGUUUCACAGAGACAUGAUCACAGGUUUCUGCCUUUUCCACGUGUAAUUUAGAUGGAGCUGCACCAGAAACAAACAAUAACAAAUAAAACCACGUCUUAAAAAAUCUU